AUUCUUUUCCGCCUCAUAAGCAGGAUGACUGGGCGCUCACACGUUUGUGUGACAUGUGCCUCCCUUAGAUCUUGUUACGCACUCGGCACAUCAUCCACCUGUCA